UCUUCACCAUCGUCUCCAUCUCAGCGUCGCCAGUCAGGCAGUCUACUAGCUGUCCUGACUGGGAACCGUAGCUACCAAUUGUUGACUUAAAAGCCUUUUUAGAGUGCCUCCUACUCUUAGUGUCUCUGAGUCAGUCACUACACAUGUACUGUAGUUAUGCUGAUAUCGGGAAGGUCAUGCAAUUGGGUCAGGAAACGAAUGUGCCCAUAUCCUUAAGUCCCUCGUGAUAGCUGAGAAAAAGGCAUGUCAUGUUGAAAAUCUUUAAAUCAGAGAGUCCCCAGGAAAGUGACUUUAUCUGGAAUGGCUUCUCGGACUCUGUCCAGCACGCUCACGGCCUCACUGGAGUGCACGAGCGUGAAGGCCAGACUGCUGUCUCCUGGCCAGAAGAGCGUGAACCUCACAUCGUACACACCAUUGCCAAGGAAGGAGGCACGUUGAGGGCGGAGCCAGGCCACGCUGGGAGCAUAAAAGGAGCCGAGAGCAGGGGCUCGAGGCUGCCGGUUCUGGGAUUGGACUCGUCUCGUCGUUGCUGUCGUCUCG